GUAAGAAGUGUGUUAAUAAUACUGUAAUUAUUAAAUAAACUGAUAAUUUUUUGGUUAAAGCACGGAUGAAUCUGGCAACACUAUAUUUCCCUUACGUCUAAAGCACGUGUUGGAUGCGUGAGUAGGUAAUUGCAGAUGAAUUUCUGGUUUUAAAUACUAUUUUUGAAUAAAAAUGGAAUUAAGCUUAAUACGAGGAACCCUGAAAAAUAACUGACAUAUGUGUAUUUAUUGAAGCAUUAUAGUAUCUGCUGUAAAUGGAAAUAGUGAUUUGGGAAGCUUUGAUCACAAAAAUUAAUUUUUGAAGGGAAGAUUAAAAAGCGAUGCUGGAAAUUUUGAAAUAGUCGUGUUACCUUUAAACAUCACCAUUGCUAGAGAUCUCCAAAAAGAGGUAGACACCACUAAUGAAAUCACAAAAUCGCACAAACAUGAGACUGAAAAAGCUUUUGUGGGCAAUGGAAUACCCAAGUUUUCAUUUUCUUGGAUAGAGUCAAACAACCAUCUCAGAAUACAAAAGGGAUAGACUUGGAGUCGGGGAGAGGACAGAGACUUUCAUCCAAUCGUGUAAUUAUUGGACAUUUUGGAAAAUAAAUGUAAAUUUAUAAAGCAUUGAUAGCAUUGCACAUAAUGAUUACCUGCUAACUGUAAUAUUACUUAAUGUAAAGAUUUGUGGUGUCCAGUACAUUUUGAUUGAUCCUAUGGAUGACGAAUGUAGCUGACUCAAGAAGAAAA